rnacentral:rRNA from 1 species
GUAGGGAAUAUUGGGCAAUGGUCGGAAGACUGACCCAGCCAUGCCGCGUGCAGGAAGACGGCCCUCUGGGUUGUAAACUGCUUUUAUCUGGGAAGAAAAAGGCCAUGCGUGGCAAAUUGCCGGUACCAGAUGAAUAAGCACCGGCUAACUCCGUGCCAGCAGCCGCGGUAAUACGGAGGGUGCGAGCGUUGUCCGGAUUUAUUGGGUUUAACGGGUGCGUAGGCGGCUGAUUAAGUCAGCGGUGAAAGACUUCGGCUUAACCGGAGCAGUGCCGUUGAUACUGGUUGGCUUGAGUGUCGGAGGGGUACAUGGAAUUGAUGGUGUAGCGGUGAAAUGCAUAGAUACCAUCAGGAACACCGAUAGCGAAGGCAUUGUACUGGCCGACAACUGACGCUGAUGCACGAAAGUGUGGGGAUCGAACAGGAUUAGAAACCCUAGUAGUCC